AUUGAACGCUGGCGGCAUGCCUUACACAUGCAAGUCGAACGGUAACGGGCCUUCGGGUGCCGACGAGUGGCGAACGGGUGCGUAAUACACCGGAACGUGCCCGAUCGUGGGGGAUAACGCGGCGAAAGCUUUGCUAAUACCGCAUACGAUCUACGGAUGAAAGCAGGGGACCGCAAGGCCUUGCGCGGACGGAGCGGCCGAUGGCAGAUUAGGUAGUUGGUGGGAUAAACGCUUACCAAGCCGACGAUCUGUAGCUGGUCCGAGAGGAUGAUCAGCCACACUGGGACUGAGACACGGCCCAGACUCCUACGGGAGGCAGCAGUGGGGAAUUUUGGACAAUGGGCGCAAGCCUGCUCCAGCAAUGCCGCGUGCAGUAUGAAGGCCUUCGGGUUGUAAACUGCCUUUGUACGGAACGAAAAGCCUUCUUUUAAUACAGGAGGGUCAUGACGGUACCGUAAGAAUAAGCACCGGCUAACUACGUG
rnacentral:rRNA from 1 species